AUUUGCACAAAACAGAUCCACAAGCCAAAUCUGCAAAACUGCAGCAUAGUAGCAAUUUGAUUUCCAAGUUCAUAUUAUUGAAGCUCACUUGCAGAUUUGUCGUGGCUACUGAAUUGGUAAGCCUUACACUACAAUGUGAUAGGAUAUCAGAAUUGACAGCAUUUCAAAUGAACUGACCUCCGCUGCUCCACUUCCUCAGAACCACCAAUGCCUACGCACCAUAAAAGGGAAGUCAAAUCUCAACUCCGUGUGCGCGCAUACAGAAAAAAUUGGCAAGAGAUUUGAAUCAGGUCACCGGCACGAUGGUGG
rnacentral:lncRNA from 1 species